AUAAAAAUAAAUGCGGAAAAUAAAAAAUCACACCGAGAUUUACGUGGGAAAACUCCAAUUUGAAGAAAAACCCACGAGACCAACACGCAAAAAAAUAAUCCACUAAGAGAAAAGAUUACAAGGUGAUUACCGACUCCACUGACUCAACAUCUCUUAACCUCCUAUGGACCUCGCGCAAUCCUUCGGGUUGUCCACUCCCUCACGUUCGAAUCCACGAACGCCUCCACUCCGAAUCCACGAAGCUUCAAUCACGCCGAAUCCACAACGCCACUCGAAUCCACGAGCCCACGAUCCGAAUCCACGAACCGCCGUCAAACACGCCGAAUCCACGACGCCACCAUGAAGAAUAUCAUGAAUAUGGUGAUCCUUC
rnacentral:lncRNA from 1 species